rnacentral:rRNA from 1 species
GACGAACGCUGGCGGCGUGCUUAACACAUGCAAGUCGAGCGGAGCGGCGAACGGGUGAGUAACGCGUGAGUAACUGCCCCCCUCUCUGGGAUAACAGUUGGAAACGGCUGCCAAUACCGGAUAGUGGGGGAUGACUCGGGUCCUAUCAGCUUGUGGGUGGGGUAGUGGCCUACAGAGGCGACGCAGGGUAGCCGGCCUGAGAGGGGUGCAGGCCACAAUGCUCUGCGAUACGGCCCAGACUCCUACGGUGGGCAGCGGGGGGGAAUCUUGUGCAAUGGUGCAAACCCUGAUGUACGACCUCGCGGGCGGAAUGAACGCUUACGGGUUGGAAACCGCUUUCAGUCAUGACGCGGUAGUCGCAGAAGAAGCACCGGCUAACUACGUGCCAGCAGCCGCGGUAAUUC